AACGAACGCUGGCGGCAGGCUUAACACAUGCAAGUCGAACGGACGUAGCAAUACGUUAGUGGCAGACGGGUGAGUAACGCGUGGGAAUAUGCCCUUUAGUUCGGAAUAACACAGAGAAAUUUGUGCUAAUACCGGAUAAUCCCGAGAGGGGAAAGAUUUAUCGCUGAAGGAGUAGCCCGCGUCUGAUUAGCUAGUUGGUGAGGUAAUGGCUCACCAAGGCGACGAUCAGUAGCUGGUCUGAGAGGAUGAUCAGCCACACUGGGACUGAGACACGGCCCAGACUCCUACGGGAGGCAGCAGUGGGGAAUAUUGGACAAUGGGGGCAACCCUGAUCCAGCCAUGCCGCGUGAGUGAUGAAGGCCUUAGGGUUGUAAAACUCUUUUGUCCGGGAAGAUAAUGACUGUACCGGAAGAAUAAGCCCCGGUUAACUUCGUGCCAGCAGCCGCCGUAAGAC
rnacentral:rRNA from 1 species